CCUACGGGAGGCAGCAGUGGGGAAUAUUGGACAAUGGGGGCAACCCUGAUCCAGCCAUGCCGCGUGUGUGAAGAAGGCCCUCGGGUUGUAAAGCACUUUCAGUGAGGAAGAACGCCUGGUGGUUAAUACCCAUCAGGAAAGACAUCACUCACAGAAGAAGCACCGGCUAACUCCGUUCCAGCAGCCGCGGUAAUACGGAGGGUGCGAGCGUUAAUCGGAAUUACUGGGCGUAAAGCGCGCGUAGGUGGCUUGAUAAGCCGGUUGUGAAAGCCCCGGGCUCAACCUGGGAACGGCAUCCGGAACUGUCAAGCUAGAGUGCAGGAGAGGAAGGUAGAAUUCCCGGUGUAGCGGUGAAAUGCGUAGAGAUCGGGAGGAAUACCAGUGGCGAAGGCGGCCUUCUGGACUGACACUGACACUGAGGUGCGAAAGCGUGGGUAGCAAACAGGAUUAGAUACCCGUGUAGUC
rnacentral:rRNA from 1 species